GGGAAGGAUGCCCCCCAAUGUGACAAGUUUGCAAGGCAUUUCCGGUCCCUGUGUCCCGACGAAUGGAUUGAAAGGUGGGAUGAAGCGAGAGCCACCGGAACCUUCCCUGCCAUAUGAACACC